rnacentral:rRNA from 1 species
AACGAACGCUGGCGGCAUGCCUAACACAUGCAAGUCGAACGAUUGCCUUCGGGUGAUAGUGGCGCACGGGUGCGUAACGCGUGGGGAUCUGCCCUUAGGUUCGGAAUAACAGCUGGAAACGGCUGCUAAUACCGGAUGAUAUCGCGAGAUCAAAGAUUUAUCGCCUGAGGAUGAGCCCGCGUUGGAUUAGGUAGUUGGUGGGGUAAAGGCCUACCAAGCCGACGAACCAUAGCUGGUCUGAGAGGAUGAUCAGCCACACUGGGACUGAGACACGGCCCAGACUCCUACGGGAGGCAGCAGUGGGGAAUAUUGGACAAUGGGCGCAAGCCUGAUCCAGCAAUGCCGCGUGAGUGAUGAAGGCCCUAGGGUUGUAAAGCUCUUUUACCCGGGAAGAUAAUGACUGUACCGGGAGAAUAAGCCCCGGCUAACUCCGUG